UCUGACUCUUCCACAGUCCCUCGUUAUAUUUUAGUACGGGAGAAUAUGCCCGUUCGCGGGUUAGGCGUUGACAGCACACGUCGGAAAUGCGAGGGACUGUGGAAUCGUGUGUCGAAAAGUUGGCAGAAUAGUCGAAAACUCGGCAAUCGGGCAAAAUUGACAUUUUUCUCAAAUAUGAAUGAAUUUUUGGACGAAAGCGGGACGAUGUAGGCUUUAGAAAACUCUUGGAUGGAUUUAGUGUGACCCUAACCCCGAAUUAGAUGUCUAAAUGGAAAAUUUAUCUCUUUCUGACGUAAAUUACGGUGAGUGCUGAUAGCUUGUUUAUAAUAUGAAAGCCUCGAUGAAAGCCAUAUGUUGGCGGAUGUGCCAUGGAUUAUAUCCUUAUGUGUGUCUUAAAAAUAUGAACAAUUAGCGACUAGGUAUAUGAUAAUUGUAGUUGAUCAAGUAGUAAUUUUGCACACACUUUUUUAGAUAUAGAUGACAUAAAAAAUUUGCUUUCAAACUUGGAAGUCUCUGUUUUGGUCCUCAAUAAAAUAUGGGAAACUAUCCUAUCCACAUAUAAAUAUGCCUGUGGCGAUAUAUCUGGUAUUAAAGCUAGCUGAGUAUAUACAUCGUAAUUGGUAACUUGAUGGCUGUUGCUUUCGUGUAUUAAUGGCUGGGUGUCUUGUUCAACUGGUACACUUUGGAAGUACUACAUGUUUAUAGAAAAAUAAAAUUAUAUUUAAUAAAUAUUUAUUCAGUUUCUAACACAUAAAUAAAAUAUAAUACAAUGGUAGGUUAAAAAAAUGCUGUAUAUAUUGUUGCAAACUAAAUAAAUCAAUCUAUUAUAGAGCUACACCAGAUUCUUGCUGUUAAAUGUUAUACUUUCUUUAAUUAUGUCAUUGGCAUUAAUUGCAACAAAUACCAACAAUGCAAAAACAAGAUACAAAUUGUGCAUUGACCAGUAUUUAAACAGUGUACUGCAUUGACUAAUAAAAAAAGUUAUUUGAUAAACUUAUCUGGUAGUAAUUUACUCUGUCUAACAUAGUUCGGAAAGGGUCUGUAUUAUAUCUCCUAUUUUAUAAAUAUUCCCCCUAUUACAGACUGCUAAUAACCUCUUUCAGAGAGCAAAAUUUGACAUUUGGACUUGUAGUUUAAUUAAUUAAAAACCACUUGUUCUGUAAUUUCUACGAUGGUUUUCUUAUCACGCCCCUCUUUAAUUAACACAUCCUCUUUUAGUAACCUCCCCCCCCUCCCCAUAACAAAACAUAACAUUUUUUCAUGGUUUAUCCUCUUGAAGCAAGGAGGUUUUAAACUAUGUCUAAUCAAGGAUGGAUCCAGCAUGAUUUAGUAGGGGGGGGGGGGUGCUCUACCAGCUCUGGUGCUGAGUUGUGUCUGUCAUGUGUGCCGCCAGCCCAUCAACUUGCUUCACUACUGCAAAGUCUUGCUUCACUACUGUAUUUGAAUUGUUGUGCACAGUUCGCUUAUCAUCAUGUUAUUGCUCAAAUUACUGUAUCUCAUUUUGUCUCUAAUAUUUUUUCCCUUUAUCAUGAAAAAUAGCAUGCCCCCCCACCCUCUGGCCAGGGUAGGGGGAUGCACCCCCACUCCCCCAGUAAAUCCUUCCCUGUGUCUAAUGGCUAUGUUUUUGUUUGUCAUACAAAUCCACACAAAAGUCUAUAUUCCUCUUAUUAACAUUAUGGUUGAACAUAGACUAUCACACUGAUAACAAAGUAGCCUGCCUCGCAGACAUCCUUAAAUGGCUCAGAGCCAUAAGGAUGUGUGUGAGGCAGGCUAAUAACAAAGCUAUGGCUAAAGUUAUAUAAGCCACUGCUAGCCAGAGAAAUGUACUGAAAAAGAAGGAGAGUGCUAUUCUUGACUUGUAGCUAUGUGGGCUGAAUCAUGUUGGUGCCAUUUUUUCAAAAGGAUCUCGUUAUCUUUCAUUGAAUUUGGCACCAAAAUGGCAGCUGUUAAUUGUCUUCUAACUCUCAAGGGUUGGUUGCAAGUCAAGAAUACCAAGAAUAACCUCUGACUAUAAGCCCUUGGCUUAUAUUCUUUUUAAGCAAUUUUUGAUGGGCUUAUACAGUACAUGGGUGCUCUUUUCAGUCUUGUGUUAGUAUAUAAUAAACAAGUCAGUCAUAAACAGGAAAAUAAACAUGUAUUAAUAACAAAUAAAGACAAUGAGUGGGGGUUAUAUUCAGGGGGGGGGGCAAGCUGUAACAAAUUUGAGCUAUUCUAGGUUCAUAUUUAUGUCUCAAUUUAAGUUUAUCUUUGUAAAAGAGCAUUCAACCACAAUAAUGUUCCCUUCAAUGUUUCCAUGUGUUGCAUCCAUUGUUUGUUUGGUAUACCAACUGAUAUUUUGCAUAGAUUAUUUUGGUCUGCAUUUCCAAGAAUUUAUUACUCCGUAAAUUUUGGAAGCUUUCCUUGCAUCUUCAGCAAAUACAUUAACAUCUUCCCUGGAAACUUUGAACCAACAUCCACUCAAUACCUAAUAGUUGUAAAUCAACAAAUAUUAAAAUAUGUGCAUAUUUUAUGAUUUUUAUCCCCCGCACAAAAAUAUUAUUAAGGACGCAAAAAUUUGCUAAACAAGCAUUCUCAACUGUAAAAGAAAUUAUUCAUGAUAUUAACUCGCCUUUGAUUUUUUCUCAUGCUGAUAUUGAAUAUAUCACAACGUUUCUUCGCCAUACAAUACAUGCGUUUCAAUGUCAAUGUCGAAUUUUUAAAUUAAUAUCUUGCAGCGUGAUAUUUUUCUUAUGAGUCACACGAAAAUGUUGCGGUAAUCCAUUUUCUUAAAAAAAUAACACAUUUCCCACACAUUCUAACUGGAUAGACAACUUUAUGCACCAUGAAACGCCUUCGAGAAGUUUUUCGCUCCUUGGAUAUAGCGUCCGCCAUUAUGUAUGGACGCCAUCUUGAAUACAGGAUUUCCCAGUCGCUCGGAAACCUAACCCAUUCCCAUGAUCCAACGCGAGCGACUGGGAAC
rnacentral:lncRNA from 1 species